rnacentral:rRNA from 1 species
AAGGUUUCCGUAGGUGAACCUGCGGAAGGAUCAUUAUUGAAUGAACUUGGUGUGGUUGUCGCUGGCCCUCUUGGGGGCAUGUGCACACCUACCAUCCUCAUCUCUCCACCUGUGCACCUCUUGUAGAUUUGGAAUUGAUUAUCCGAGGCAACUCGGUCGUGAGGACUGCUAGCACUUAGCUGGCUUUCUUUGCAAUUCCMGGUCUAUGUUUUUCAUAUACCCCAUUGUAUGUAACAGAAUGUAUCAUUGGGCCUUGUGCCUAUAAACCUUAUACAACUUUCAGCAACGGAUCUCUUGGCUCUCGCAUCGAUGAAGAACGCAGCGAAAUGCGAUAAGUAAUGUGAAUUGCAGAAUUCAGUGAAUCAUCGAAUCUUUGAACGCACCUUGCGCUCCUUGGUAUUCCGAGGAGCAUGCCUGUUUGAGUGUCAUUAAAUUCUCAACCAUUAUCAACUUUUGCUGAUAAUGGCUUGGAUGUGGGGGUCUAUUUUGCUGGCUUCUCAGAUAGUCAGCUCCCCUUAAAUGCAUUAGCCGGUGCCCCGCGUGGACUGUCUAUUGGUGUGAUAAUUAUCUACGCUAUAGACAUCUGCAAUCAUAUGGGUUUGCGCUGCUUCUAACAGUCUGUUGAUUCAGACAAUACAUGACAAUUUGACCUCAAAUCAGGUAGGACUACCCGCUGAACUUAA